UACGGAGGGGGCUAGCGUUGUUCGGAAUUACUGGGCGUAAAGCGCGCGUAGGCGGCUUUGUAAGUUAGAGGUGAAAGCCCGAAGCUCAACUUCGGAAUUGCCUUUAAGACUGCAUCGCUAGAAUUGUGGAGAGGUAAGUGGAAUUCCGAGUGUAGAGGUGAAAUUCGUAGAUAUUCGGAAGAACACCAGUGGCGAAGGCGACUUACUGGACACAUAUUGACGCUGAGGUGCAAAAGCGUGGGGAGCAAACAGG
rnacentral:rRNA from 1 species